UAAGACCAGCGAUCGGCAUUCCGUAUCCUAUUGGUGUUUGUUUGUGUGGAGUCUGACGUAAGUCCAGCGAUUGGCAGUUGGUUUCCAGUGUGUGUUUGUUGGUUCAGAGUCUGAUGUAAGUCCAGCGAUUGGCAUUCGGUUUCCAUGUUUGCCGGUUUGUGUGGAGUCUGACGUAAGCCCAGCGAUUGGCAGUCGGUUUCUUGUGUGUGUGUGUGUUUUGUUUCGGCGUGCGUGAACCAAACUACGGUAGCUCUGAUUCUCAUUCCAGAUGAGAUACGUAGGCAUAGGAUGCGAUAUCCUAGCGAGCCCGUUCCCCUCUUCUCCCACCCGUGUCUUAUUCCAGUGUGUGUGUGUGCAUUCUCUUGAGCAGUGUUUAGCAACCUUUCUCCUAUUCUUUUGAGCGUGGAUCCCGUCGAGUACGACGGAUGCGUAGGGGUGCUAA
rnacentral:lncRNA from 1 species